GUUUAAAUUUCAUUGAUUUCUAUUUACUUAUACUAAAGUUAUUGUGUGAAAACCAAGAAUAAUGCUUAUUUGGGCCCUUUUUUGGCCCUUAUUUCCUUAACUGUUGGAACUAAAACUCCCAAAAUCAAUCCCAACCUUCCUUUUGUGGUCAUAAACCUUGUGUCAAAAUUUCAUAGAUUUCUAUUCACUUAAACUAAAGUUAUAGUGCGAAAACCAAGAAAAUGCUUAUUUGGGCCCUUUUUGGCCCCUAAUUCCUAAAAUGUUGGGACCAAAACUCCCAAAAUCAAUCUUAACCUUCCUUUUGUGGUCAUAAACCUUGUGUUAAAAUUUCAUUGAUUUCUAUUUACUUUUACUAAAGUUAGAGUGCGAAAACUAAAAGUAUUCGGACGACGACGACGCCAACGUGAUAGCAAUAUACGACCAAAAAAUUAAAAUUUUUGCGGUCGUAUAAAAAGGAUUCAAU
rnacentral:lncRNA from 1 species